CAGCAAGUGAAAUGUUUUUCUAAGUACUAGGAGACAACAUUGCACAUCUAAAGGCUACAUUGGGCUCACAUCCUGUUAUUUGGAUUCUUUCUUUGUACUUUAAUUCCUUUACAUGAUUUUAGAGCAGUCUCAAGAAGGAGAGAAGUUUUCUUUGGACAAAGUAGAUCCUGGGUCCCCAACACCUGGGCCACAGAUGGAUAUCCGUCUCUGUCCUGUAAGGAACCAGGUUGCACAGCAGGAGGUGAGUGGUGGGCAAGUGAUUCACAUUCCACAAGCCCACUUUGUAUAAUAUAUGGUGACUGGCUAUCCCAUGAAGACAUAAAACCUUCAAAACUGCUUUGCCACCUGGAGACCAAGCACCCGGCAUUAAAAAACAAGCCUUUGGAGUUUUUCAAAAGAAAAAAAAAAAAAACAUGAACAUGAAGAACAGAAGCAAUUAUUGAAGGCCACCACUUCAUCAAAUGUGUCUGCACUGAGAGCAUCAUUCUUAGUGGCUAACCACAUUGCUAAA